ensembl:snoRNA U3 Small nucleolar RNA U3
AGCUGCUGUCUGUUAUUGAUGACCGUUCCUUCUUUCCUUUUGGGAAGUUGGGAGGGAGAGAACACAGACUGAGUGGU